ACCUGACUUCGUUGUUGUUGUGCAGGAGACCCGGGAGCAGAGGAUCACUCAGUACCAUGAAGAAGCCGACACCCCAUGUGUCCUGGGUCUGAGGGAGGGGUCCCUGCUGCUGGUGGAGGGAGACAAAGCCACGCUACUGGGAACCACCAAGGCCAGACUCUUCACCAGGGGAAAGCCCACAUUGGAGUACGACCCUGGUAGUGACCUCAGCUUCCUGCUGACACGUUGACCAAUCAGAAGAAAGCA